rnacentral:rRNA from 1 species
GACGAACGCUGGCGGCGUGCUUAACACAUGCAAGUCGAACGAAGUGGCGAACGGGUGAGUAAUACGUGGGUAACCUGCCCUCCUUUUUGGGAUAAGCCUUGGAAACGGGGUCUAAUACCGAAUAAAGGGGGAUGGGCUCGCGGCCUAUCAGCUGGUUGGUGGGGUGAUGGCCUACCAAGGCGGUGAGGGGUGGCAGGCCUGAGAGGGUGACCGGCAACAGUGGGACUGAGAUGCGGCCCAGACACCGACGGGAGGCAGCAGUGGGGGAGAUGGCACAAUGGGCGAGAGCCUGAUGCAGGGACGCCGCGGGGGGGAUGAAGGCUUGCGGGAUGUAAAGCUCUAUGGCAAGCGAACGGGUAGGUGGAGAAGAAGCGCCGGCUAACUACGUGCCAGCAGCCGCGGUAAUUC